rnacentral:rRNA from 1 species
GUCACUGCUAUUGGGAUUCGACUAAGCCAUGCGAGUCGUGAGGGUUCGGCCCUCGGCAGACGGCUCAGUAACACGUAGAUAAUUUGCCCUUAGGUGGAGGAUACCCUCGGGAAACUGAGAAUAAUACUCCAUAGAUCUAGACUGCUGGAAUGCUUUUAGAUUGAAAGAUUUAUCGCCUAAGGAUAAGUCUGCGGACUAUCAGGUUGUAGUCAGGGUAAAGACCUGACUAGCCUACGACGGAUACGGGUAGUGAGAGCUUUAGCCCGGAGAUGAUAUCUGAGACACGAUAUCAGGCCCUACGGGGCGCAGCAGGCGCGAAAGCUUCGCACUGUGCGAAAGCACGACGAGGGAAUCCCAAGUGCUGGCUCGUAAGAGUCAGCUGUUUUUCUGUCUAAAAAACAGAGAGAGUAAGGCCUGGGUAAGACGGGUGCCAGCCGCCGCGGUAAUACCUGCAGACCAAGUGGUGGCCGCUAUUAUUGGGCCUAAAACGUCCGUAGCCGGUUCUAUAAAUGCCUGGGUAAAUCGUACGGCUUAACCGUACGAAUUCCGGGUAGACUGUUCAACUUGGGACCGGGAGAGGCUAGAGGUACUCCUGGGGCAGAGGUGAAAUUCUGUAAUCCUAGGGGGACCACCAGUGGCGAAGGCGUCUAGCUAGCACGGGUCUGACGGUGAGGGACGAAGCCCUGGGGAGCAAACGGGAUUAGAUACCCCGGUAGUCCAGGGUGUAAACGCUGCUCGCUUGAUGUUAGUCGGGCUCCGAGCCCGAUUAGUGUCGGAGAGAAGUUGUUAAGCGAGCUGCCUGGGGAGUACGGUCGCAAGACUGAAACUUAAAGGAAUUGGCGGGGGAGCAC